GAAUCACAGCAUCCGCCUACUUGGUCUACUACUAAACGCAUCUUAUUUGCGCGGUAGACUGGUGGGCGACAAUCAGCGUUGAUUCAAGCCUUCAGACAAAUAAAACCCGCGCCAAUGCGCGGGUUUUUUU
rnacentral:sRNA from 1 species